AAGGUGACCCUCGAAAAGUGCUUCAGAAACCGAACUUCGCUCCACAGCCUCCGAACAAACAGACAUUCAGUUCAUAAAAAAGAAAGACUUAUAUAGAGGAUUUAAAACCUCUGUUCGGAAUAGUCCGCACUGCAAGGCUAUUCAAAUUCGCAACGUGUAAUGACGAACUACUGUCUCCGAGGCGUAUGUAGAUAUUCGGCCGGCGUAAUAAUACUUUUCGCCUCGAGAGGUGCCACGGUUGAAGCGUCAUCAGAAGGAACGAAUCAGCUAACUGCUAUGUCAGCUGAGAUGAGGAGUAAACGGAAGUAGCAUGGCUACCGAAGGAGCUGGUCGAUCAUCUAGUAGUACCGAGGAAGACGAAAUCUCGACCGAAAAUGUACAAAAAAAGACAUCUUCGAAACGCAAGUUGUGUUACAUGCAUAUAUCUUCGGUCAAGCAUGAAGAAACACAGAAUUUCACCAAUAUACGGUGGAAUACAUAUCGAAAUUUUCGGCAGCGGCUAGAAUUGAAGGGUGAGUGCAGAGACGUAGCAGAACAUUUUAAGCAAUGUAUUGAGUUGGAGUUUGACGAAAUUCCCGAGGAUGCGGCUCUCCAUCCCACAUGCUACCGGAGGUUUAUUGACAAGCGGGAAAUUGAACGAGUCACACGGCGUGUCUUGCGAGAGGCAGAGAGGGGAGAUGGCCAACAAGACCCCCGAACUAGCCAGGCUACCUCCGCUUUAUCGGCUGUGACCACCACUCCGACCAGGAAACUGCGAUCCAGAUCAAGCUUGGCCAUCACGAGCUCUGGCCCCGUUCUUCCUGCUGUCUGCAUGAUUUGCAAGAAAGACAGCAAAUUUAUCGUCGCGAGUGGCAGACGUCAAAGAGAACGAAAACACAGACUUUAACCGCAGGCAAGUUGCAGGAAGCAGCUGAAGUAAAGGAAGCCAAGAGCAUCCUCAUUCACAUCAAGGACAGAGACUGUGUGGCUCUGGAGGUGCAGUACCACAGAAGUUGCUACAGAGAGUACACAAGGUUUUUGAGUGAGCCUGUCAGAGCAGAGAAAGAACAGAUUGGGCCAACAUUUGAUCUGAGCUACAAGUUAUUCUGCGAGAGGGUAAUCCGCUAAAGGCUACUGAUCAACCAAGAGGUGCUGAGGAUGAGCCAACUGAGGAAGGCCUUUAUUGCCCUUGUGCAGUCAAGUGAAGGUGUUGAUGCUUCAACCUACAGACAGGAUAUAUUGAAGAAGAGGCUCAGUCGUGAUUUUCCUCAGCUAGUGUUCCACACCCCCGCCAAACGCAACACAUCUGAACUGGUUUUUGCUGAGAACUUGUCGACGAAUGCAGUCUUGGACUUGUUACCAUCAGGUGCGGAGACGACUCAGUCCAGCGAAAUGAGCCAGACAGACAGCGACACAGAAAGGAGGAAGUCAAAGCAACCAACCACAGCAGAGGAGACACGGACACUUUACACAGCAGCUUUGCUUUUGAAGAGGCUGCUUAGUCACAGUCCUGGCAUGUCAUGCCCAUGGCCCCCAACUGCAGUAAACUUCAAUUUCACUGAAGUCAUUUUCUGUGGCAUGCGCAAAAGAUGUGUACCUGGAUGCUUUCACACAGUUCAUGAAAAUGCCGGUUCAUGUGUAUGCCACUUGUUUUGAUUUUUUUAUUUGUUGUAUAGUUAUUAGUGAAUAAAUGAAUACAUGAA